AGCUGCUCUAGGGUGAGAGGCUAUGUCCCUUCCCAUAGGGGAGACAGCCAAAACUGAGUGCCUGCUAGGGGAAGGACUGACACCCCAGGGCAACUAACAGGAUGACACCUUGUCCCAGUGAGGAGGCAGUGAAAGGUAAUGCACAUUAUUCCCAGAGCUGAUCCAGGAGCUCAGCCCAACAGAACAGAAAGCAUGGCCGAACCUGAGCAGAAGGAAGAUUAAACACACCAUGCUCAGAGGAAUGCAAAUGUCUUGAACAUGGAGAAAAAUACAGCUACCUUGGACAGCUGCCCUGGAACACGAGAGGCGACAAAAAGAAAAUCCAUUUGGUCUGAGGAUCGUGAAAGGAAAUAAAAUUAUAAUGAUGGGCAAUCUCCCACAGUCAGAUGAGGGAUGUCUGUCCCUCACUGUCUAAUCUCAUUUAGCCAAUGGCUAUGAGUAAUUAUCUAGCACUGGUCAUCAGUAUUCCUAAGCUGAGUGAAAUGGUGUGGACUGAUUCAAGCAUAGUGUCUGGCGAUUGUGCAUAGAUCAUUAAUUCCCUAAAAGUUUCUUCUUGCAUACUAAAUUGAACUGCAAUGCCUAUAUAAAAUUCAUACCUCUGUCAGGGAUUGUUUGCCAUCUUCAUCUUAUUAUAGAAAUAGGCAUGGUGGGGUUCUGGGAUCUCGUUUGCUAUUGGUAUUAUUGGCUGCAAUUCAGGCUACCAACUCCUCCUAUCUAGCCAAUAAAAUGCCUUAAUCUUUCUUGUU